GUAGCGGCUGUUUGUCAAACGUGCGGCCACGUUUUCAUGCUGUCCAGCAGGGGUCUUUUCUUGGCGAAUUCCAGAAGUUAGUCUGGGUAAUGGGUAGCCAGAGAGACAAACAUUUUACUGUGUGGGCAUAGGUUUUCUCCAGCCGUGCAGAGGGGAUUUAAGAAGCUAUCUGGGCCAUAUCAGUCAGUACUCUCAGCAUUUCAGCAGGUGCUCGGUGUGGGAAUCAGAACACGUGAGACAGUGCUGUAUGUACAUGGGUGUUCCACGUGGUGGACUUGGCAAUUAUUUUGUGAGCCUAGUGUUGCCAUUGGUUUGAAGUCGGCGUUACCCAGUAUCGUUGUUCAGUGAGAGACCUAUGAGUCCGGGACUGGAAGCGGAGGGGCUGUUCGAGCUGUAUGGAGGCCUGGUUAUGCCAAGUGUGACGUGGCGUUAAAUUGAAUUGUGCUGAGUAGCCAAACUUUCAUAUUGAGUUUCAGUAAAUUAACAUUUUAUCAAAAAGGAAUUUGAGAAAUGUUGUAUAUACAAAACGUAAUUUACUACUGUUUAACUUUUUCUGUAGUUAGCGGAAUUUGCUACUAUUUGAACCAUUUUUGUAAUAAAUUUAUUACCAGUUACAUUUUCAGCCUGGAAUGACAUAUUUGUUGUAUUAACUAUUGAAUUGUCUUGACAGUUAUACGUUAUAUUGAUUGUCAAUAUUGCCAGGUUUAUUUAUACCAAUUUAUAUUUUCUUUCUCGGUGAGAGAGUAUGGAUGUGUGAAGGUGAAAGUGUGAUUUCUUUGUUUUUCAAACAUCUCUAUAUUUCUUAUCUUAUAGCUAAAUAAAUUUUCUUUUUAUUUAU